rnacentral:rRNA from 1 species
GGCAUGCAAGUCGAACGAGGUGGCAUGCAAGUCGAACGAGGUGGCAUGCAAGUCGAACGAGGAUAUAUCCUUCGGGAUAUAAGCCGAGUGGCGCAAGGGUGAGUAAUGCAUAGAUUACCUGCCUUUAGGAUAAGGACAACUUUGUGAAAACGGAGCUAAUACUUAAUAAUACAAAAGGAAAUAAUUUUCUUUUGUCAAAUGGGGGGUAGCAAUACCUUUCGCCUAAAGAGGGGUUUAUGUCCUAUCAGCUUGUUGGUGGGGUAACGGCCUACCAAGGCAAUGACGGGUAGCCGGCCUUAGAGGGUGGUCGGCCACACUGGGACUGAGACACUGCCCAGACUUCUACGGAAGGCUGCAGUCGAGAAUCUUUCGCAAUGCCCGAAAGGGUGACGAAGCGACGCCGCGUGGGUGAGGAAGGCCUUCGGGUUGUAAAGCCCUGUCAGGAGUUAAGAAAUGUAGGUACGCUAAUAUCGUGCUUAUUUGACAAAGGCUCCAAAGGAAGCCACGGCUAACUCUGUGCCAGCAGCCGCGGUAAUACAGAGGUGGCAAGCGUUGUUCGGAAUUAUUGGGCGUAAAGAGCACGUAGGUGGAUUUGUAAGUCAGAUGUGAAAGCCUUCUGUUCAACGGGAGAAUUGCAUCUGAAACUACAAACCUUGAGUGUAGGAGGGGAGAAUGGAACUUCUGGUGGAGCGGUGAAAUGCGUAGAUAUCAGAAGGAACGCCGGCGGCGAAAGCGAUUCUCUGGCCUAUUACUGACACUCAGUGUGCGAAAGCUAGGGGAGCAAACGGGAUUAGAUACCCCGGUAGUCCUAGCCGUAAACGAUGGGCACUAAGUAGAGGGGUUUU